AGCUAUAUGCGAUUUCUUGAAAUCCUUGUAUGCCCUUGCUUUUGUUUCCUUUCAAAUCUAAAUACAUUUGUGAAAGAUUAUUGCUUACUUCGGAUUGACUCGUAAAGGCACAUGUACGCUUUGUUGUUCCGCGUGUGCUUCCGAUAUAUGCUGCUUAUUGUUAAAACUGCCCUCUUGUACUCUGGUGUGUGGGAUUGUCUGGACCCUUGCCAGAAAUGGUAAAGGAUAUGCGCUUGUUGCCCGCUAUGUGGGAUCCCGCUAUGUGGGAUAUGCGCUUGUUGCCCGCUAUGUGGGUAUGUGCUUAGAGCCUGCNNNN
rnacentral:lncRNA from 1 species